CCCUAAAUCCUUUAACGAGGAUCUAUUGGAGGGCAAGUCUGGUGCCAGCAGCCGCGGUAAUUCCAGCUCCAAUAGCGUAUAUUAAAGUUGUUGCGGUUAAAAAGCUCGUAGUUGGUUCUGCGUGCCACGCUGUCGGUUCACCGCCUGCCGGUGCAACUGGCAUGCCGUGGCAUGUCCUGUCGGUGGCGGAUAGGCUUCGCGGCGUGCCCUAUGCGGUAUACCAGCGUGUAGGCUGCUGCGCCGCGUCGUCCUUGUACGCCGGCUCAAUCCUACCGCGGUGCUCUUUACCGAGUGUCGAGGUAGGCCGACACUGUUUACUUUGAACAAAUUAGAGUGCUUAAAGCAGGCUCUUAAAUCAGCCUGAAUAGUGGUGCAUGGAAUAAUGGAACAGGACCUUGGUUCUAUUUUGUUGGUUUUCGGAAUCCAAGGUAAUGAUCAAUAAGGACAGGCGGGGGCAUUCG
rnacentral:rRNA from 1 species